rnacentral:lncRNA from 1 species
GAGCCGUCUCGGUUGGAGCGGGAUGGGGAGGGCUGGCGCCCUGCUCCACUCCGGGAAGCCGCAGGGUUGGGAAGGGGCUCGCCGCCCCGUGCGAUGGCAAAGCCAGAGCUCGUGCCGGGAGGUUCAUUCGCUCUUUCCCGGCACUGCCGGGGCUUCCUGGCCGCUCCCGCCGCCUUCCCAGUGCUCUUUGCUCAGCCGAAGCCCAUCGAUACCAGCUGGGGCUCCGGGUGCAGCGCCGGCACCGCGUGUCAGGCCCGCAGGGCGAUAAGAAAUCUCCGCUUCCGUUUGCCGGCGAAGCGCUCCCUGCGCUCCCACGGCCCCAAAUCCGCUCCAUGUCACCCGGCUUUCCUCGCCCGCGGACACGGGAGGGCGAAACCCCAAACCUAUCUCAUCUGCUGGGGCGCCUCCUUCCCUGCGGCGGCACCGCGGCGAGGAUGCUUCGGCCGCACUGCCUGCUCCCAAGCCGGCGCUGCUGAAUCCCGCGGGUACCCGGAGCGAUCGGCCCCAGCCGGAGGCUUUGGCGACCCGGGGGCGCGUUGCGCCGUCUCGAGGCUUCGGCAAAUCCCGGCUUCUGCUCGCUCGCCGGCGUUCGUCGCCCUGCAGGAGGCUUUCGCCGGCUCUGCGGCCCUCGAGGGAUGGGGAUUCUCUUUAAAGGAGGAUUUAACGCCCGUGCGAAUCCCUGGGGCUCUUAGCCCAGGCGCCGGGCCGGCCUUGGCCCAUCUCCUCGAGACCGGAGAGGCUUUUCCUGUUCUCGCCGGGGUCUCCUCGCCGCUCGCAGGAACCAGCCGGCAGGAGCUUGAAAUUGCCCCGGGGGCAGCGGGAGAGCCGUGGCACCAGUUGUCACACCGGCCGGUCCUCCACCGGACAUCGGUUCCCCGCCACGGGCUUUCCCGCGGUCCUGCAUGGAGCAACGUGGCCGUGCAUCUCCAGGCUAUCCUGGAUGGAAAAACCUUCCUUUUUGGAAGCGUCCUGGGUGUCCCCCCCAAGCCCAGCAUCUCCCUGGGGUAUUUGCUGCUCCCCGGAGCGAUCCCUGCGCCGUCACCGCCACCGUCGGGAUUUUGCAGCCCCGACUGCAGCCGGCGG